rnacentral:rRNA from 1 species
GUGAGGAAUUUUCCGCAAUGGGCGAAAGCCUGACGGAGCAAUGCCGCGUGAAGGAUGAAGGCCUAUGGGUUGUAAACUUCUUUUCUCAGAAAAGAAUUAUGACGGUAUCUGAGGAAUAAGCAUCGGCUAACUCUGUGCCAGCAGCCGCGGUAAGACAGAGGAUGCAAGCGUUAUCCGGAAUGAUUGGGCGUAAAGCGUCUGUAGGUUGUUUAAAAAGUAUUCUGUCAAAGAUUAGGGCUUAACCCUAGAUAGGCAGAAUAAACUUUUAAGCUAGAGUUUGGUAGAGGCAGAGGGAAUUCCCGGUGGAGCGGUGAAAUGCGUAGAUAACGGGAGGAACACCAAAGGCGAAGGCACUCUGCUGGGCCAAUACUAACACUGAGAGACGAAAGCGAGGGGAGCAAAUGGGAUUAGAUACCCCUGUAGUCC